CAAUACCAACCAAAGAAAAAAAAAACGGCGACAAGAUUAUGAGGAUAUUGGAAUUUCCACAUGAUGUUUGUAAACAAAAUUAUGACGAAGACCUGCUCUAUUUUUAAAAUGAAGGUAUAGUAGCUGACAUAUAGUGUACAUGUACCACUUGAAGAUUUGUCCCCCUUGUAGAUACAAGAAAUGCAAAGUGUACACAGAUACAUACACAUAAAAGGAGACAUCACCUCAUGAUCUGUGGAUCCAUUGAAAACUUUAAGGACAAAACUUUUGAUAAUUCAUUCAUGUAUAGAGUGUUGACUCGAAUAUUGAAUAUCUAAUGAAUGGAACCAAGAGAAUUAAUCUAAGAAGUAUUAU